GACCCCAGGUCAGGCGGGGCCACCCGCUGAAUUUAAGCAUAUCAAUAAGCGG
rnacentral:rRNA from 1 species